rnacentral:rRNA from 1 species
GGUAAUUACAAAGGGAUGCAAUGAUUCAAGUCGGAGCAAAGCCUAAAAAAUUAUCUUAGUUCGGAUUGGUCUCUGCAACUCGGGACCAUGAAGCUGGAAUCACUAGUAAUCGUGGAUCAGCACGCCACGGUGAAUCUGUUCUCGGGCUUUGUACACACCGCCCGUCACACCGGGGAAGCCGGACUGAUCUAAAAACUUUA